UUACUGGUUUUAACUUCAGCUCCAUUAUCCCAAAUAUUUAUUUCAUGAACUCAUGCACUUAACAAAUAUUAAAUAUCUACCAAGAGCCGAGCUGAAAAAAUACUAUUACCUUGCUCAGGAGCUGGGAGAAAGGAAUUAGAAUGAAAACUAAAAACUGCUUCAGGAGUAACAGAGGAGGGAAGAGAGGGAAGAGCUCCUUGCAGUCAGAGAACAUCAGGGGAAUUUUGAGGAAGCCCCGAAGAAUGAGUUGAGUCUUGAAUGACAGAGACGAUCUACAAACAAAAAGGAGAUGGACAGGAGGAGAUCUCAGCUACUAACAGUGAAUGAACAGAGGAUACUUGGGAAUGUGAAUGGAUGAUCCUGCUACAGGCCACCCUACAGGAGAAAGUAGAAGCAUUUCUGGCUGGGCACAGGGGCUCACACCUGUAAUCCCAGCAGUUUGGGAGGCCAAGAUGGGUGGAUCACUUCAAUCCAGGAAUUCGAGGCUAGCCUGGCCAACACAGCAAGACCUCGUGUCUACAAAAAAAAUAUUAAAAAAUUAGCCAUGCAUGAUGGCACAUGCCUGUAAUCCCAGCUACUCAUGGGGCUGAAGCAGGACAAUCGCUUGAACCCAGGAGGUGGAGGCUGCAGUGAGCCAAGAUUGAGUCACUGCACUCCAGCCUGGGUGAGAAGCAUGAAACUCCGUCUCAAAAGAAAAAAAAAAAAAAAAGUCAUUUCCAGUGGAAAAAAAACCUUAGAAGUUUACGAAUUAUCAGACAGUAGUAUCUUAACAAAGAUGGUGUAAGAAGACUUGAUUCUCUUCUGCAGCAAAAUGCAUGCCUCCCAAACAUUCAGAGAAAUCAAAGGGAAAACGUGGGGAGAAGAGCAUUUGGUAAGACAAAUUAACACAAUAUUCCGUAUUUUUUCCAGCUGAAUCUUGAGAGGAGCAGUUCCUUCCUCUGCUCUCAUCAAGACCAUCUUUGAAGAGCUUCAGAGAUACACCUGCUAAGAGAGACUGAUGGAAUUCUAUUCAAUUAUUUCCUUUGUCCACCCUUUUCUGCUUCCUUCCUCCUGAGAAGGGAGAAUCACUGACAUGGCAUUUGGAUAAAAAUGGGGAACAGGACAGGAGAAGGAGAAACAAAAACAGAUACAUAAGGAGAAAUCAAGAAAAAAACGACCAAGAAACAGAAAGAGUGAGGAAGAGAGCAAGAAAGAGGCUAGUAGAGAAAAGAUGGCAUGGCCAAGCCAAUCUAUAUUCAUGGACAAUCACAGAGGAGAGGAGAAAGCAGUUACAUGGGUGCUGACAAUUUGGGGGAUAACUUUUCCAUUUCUUCAUUGUGUUUUUUUGUUUCAAACACCAUGCAGAGCCUGAGACCAGUGGGCUCUUGGGAUUGAGCAGGGUAAUAGUAUCUUAAAUACAAACACAUGACUCUCUUCAGGCUGAACUGUGCUGAAUGGGCAGGUUGUAAGAGAUUUCUCUUGCAGCGGGUGGUCAAAAGUCUCCUGGAACAUCCCACAUGGAGAAAGUGACUUGGGCAAGACCACACAGCCAGAAAGCAGCAGAGUUGGGACCUCACCUUGGUCUGUGUGAUGCAGAAUUCUGUGUUUCCACCUCCUUAUACUUCCUGAAACGAUCGUAUCACUCAGGAAAAUAACAGUUGCCUCAUGCUUAGUUGGCCUGAAAACUACUGAUUUCAGUGGGCAGAGAGGGGAUGUCCUUGGAUUCAGUCCUCAGGACCAUGGUCCCUGCUGAACACAGAAAGCUUUAAUUCACAUAAAGCUCACACAGCAGAGCCUGGGACACAGUACUCUAUAGAACUGCUAUCAAUAACAAUAGCGGUAAUAAAAACAACACUAAUAACUGUAUAUAGUAAUAAUAAUAAUUGCAGGUAACAGACUUCAAGAUGGUGCCCCACAAUCUCUGCCUCCUGAUGUUCACACAUUUGUAUGACUCCCUCCUCUUCAGUGUGGGCAAGUCCUGUAAUUUGCUUCUAACCAAUAAAAUAUAGCGAAGGUGAUUGGAUGCUGCUCUUUUACGUAUUUAUUUAUUUGAGACGGAGCCUCACUCUGUCGCCCAGGCUGGAGUGCAGCGGCGCAAUCUCGGCUCACUGCAACCUCUGUGUCCUGG
rnacentral:lncRNA from 1 species